CAAAAGGUUUUUUUUAAAACUAUAAUUGAUAUUCUUAAGGAAAGAA
rfam:Canis lupus familiaris chromosome 14, whole genome shotgun sequence.